CAGCAGCCGCGGGAAUACGAAGGGGGCUAGCGUUGUUCGGAUUUACUGGGCGUAAAGGGUGCGUAGGCGGAUUGUUAAGUCAGGGGUGAAAUCCCGAGGCUCAACCUCGGAACUGCCUUUGAUACUGGCGAUCUUGAGUCCGGGAGAGGUGAGUGGAACUGCGAGUGUAAAGGUGAAAUUCGUAGAUAUUCGCAAGAACACCGGUGGCGAAGGCGGCUCACUGGCCCGGAACUGACGCUGAGGCGCGAAAGCGUGGGGAGCAAACAGGAUUAGAUACCCCCGUAGUCCCUGUCUCUUAUAC
rnacentral:rRNA from 1 species